rnacentral:rRNA from 1 species
AGUGAACGCUGGCGGUAGGCCUAACACAUGCAAGUCGAACGGCAGCACAGUAAGAGCUUGCCCUUACGGGUGGCGAGUGGCGGACGGGUGAGGAAUACAUCGGAAUCUACUUUUUCGUGGGGGAUAACGUAGGGAAACUUACGCUAAUACCGCAUACGACCUACGGGUGAAAGCAGGGGAUCUUCGGACCUUGCGCGAUUGAAUGAGCCGAUGUCGGAUUAGCUAGUUGGCGGGGUAAAGGCCCACCAAGGCGACGAUCCGUAGCUGGUCUGAGAGGAUGAUCAGCCACACUGGAACUGAGACACGGUCCAGACUCCUACGGGAGGCAGCAGUGGGGAAUAUUGGACAAUGGGCGCAAGCCUGAUCCAGCCAUACCGCGUGGGUGAAGAAGGCCUUCGGGUUGUAAAGCCCUUUUGUUGGGAAAGAAAAGCAGCAGGUUAAUACCCCGCUGUUCUGACGGUGCCCAAAGAAUAAGCACCGGCUAACUUCGUG